rnacentral:misc_RNA from 1 species
AGGCAGGAGCAGGCGCCAGUUAGGUUAGGAAGGUUAGAGUCAGGGAAAAGUUUCGAAUUUAAUUCGAAAGCUCUAGUUCAAAUAAGUGGAGCCCUUUGCGCAGCUAGUGCGAAGCGGGACUCGUUGUUUUAGUACCUCUCGAUCGUGAAACAACGAGCGUAUCCUGCUGUAGUCAUCCUCGACCUGGAAAUGUUUUGUUUUGCUAUUGAUCUCCUUGUAAAAUGAAAGUAACUAUUAAAAGCUGGACCGGAGUAGCUACAUGGAGAUGGGUAGCAAAUGACGACACCUGCGGUAUUUGUCGUUUAGCUUUCGAUGGUUGUUGUCCCGAUUGCAAACUGCCAGGAGAUGACUGUCCUCUAGUUUGGGGCCAAUGUUCUCACUGCUUCCACAUCCAUUGUAUUAUGAAAUGGCUGAAUGCCCAGAACGUUCAUCACCAGUGUCCCAUGUGUCGCCAAGAGUGGAAGUUUAAGGAAUAAGGCUGCAUUCGUGGUUUGCGGGAGGGUGUCCUGUUACAGCAGCGUCUCCUAAUCUGUGAAAGGUUGUCUCCCGAACAUAAAAUCAACAUCCUGCGCUGCAGCCCUUUGCUUCACUGAAAGUGCUUGUCCGCGGCUGUUCUGAAAAGAGGCUGCUUGAGGGCUGCGACUCAACACGGAUCUUAAAGCCUUAGUUACGAGGCUUUAGAACACAUCGAAGUAUCCGUGCCUUCACUUUAACGAAGGACUUUUUGGAACGUUUUUAUUAAUCUUCUAAUUUAAUCUUAAUAAUAAAUUAAACAAUAAACCUGGUUCUCGAAGUAA